rnacentral:rRNA from 1 species
GUCCACGCCGUAAACUAUGGGUGCUAGCCGUCGGAUAGCUUGCUAUUCGGUGGCGCAGCUAACGCAUUAAGCACCCCGCCUGGGGAGUACGGCCGCAAGGUUAAACUCAAAGGAAUUGACGGGGCCCGCACAAGCGGUGGAGCAUGUGGUUUAAUUCGACGCAACGCGAAGAACCUUACCAGCUCUUGACAUUUCCUGACUGUUUCCAGAGAUGGAUUCGUCCCAGCAAUGGGCAGGAGGACAGGUGCUGCAUGGCUGUCGU